GUACCGUGUAAUACUACCGCUGACUGUAGUGGUAAUCCAUGCAUCGACGGUUUCUGCUCUGCCCCAGCAUGUGGAGAACCAUUCUGCCACAAUUGAAAAGGCUAUUGACCGGAAUGCAAAAAUAAACAGAC